rnacentral:rRNA from 1 species
UACGUAGGGUGCAAGCGUUUGUCCGGAAUUAUUGGGCGUAAAGAGCUUGUAGGCGGUUUGUCGCGUCUGCUGUGAAAUUUCGGGGCUCAACCCCGAACUUGCAGUGGAUACGGGCAGACUAGAGGUAGGUAGGGGAGAAUGGAAUUCCUGGUGUAGCGGUGAAAUGCGCAGAUAUCAGGAGGAACACCGGUGGCGAAGGCGGUUCUCUGGGCCUUACCUGACACUGAGGAGCGAAAGCAUGGGGAGCGAACAGG